AAGAAAUAUGUUUACAACCAUAACCACCCCAUUACUCCACUUCUGCAUUUUUUUCAUCGUCUAACUGCUCCUAAGAAACAAACCCAUAUUAUCCAACUUUUUUUCUUCAUUCAACACUGCUCAGAUCUCUUUGAAUGUUUUCUUCCCAUAAUUUGGUUCUUCAGUACAGACGAAGAUGGUUUAGGGAUUUCAAUUUCAUCAAAGAUCUCCCAAUCGAUAUAUUCAAAGUCCCAAGAGUUUUUCGUUCAGUUAAGGGAAGGAAGGAGUCUGAAGACUACUAUCAAGAAUCUAUUACACAUCCCGAUAAAGCCACGAUCUUCAGAAUCUUCAGUUUUUCAUACCAAAAAGGUUUUGGUUUCCUCCAUUUAAUUUAGACUAUUAAUUUUGUGGGUUUUCUCAAAAUUUUCAAUUAUGUGUAGUACAAUUGGAUGCAUCGUUCUUCUUAAUUUUCAAAAUUAUAUGAAAUUUCAGUUCAUACACAGGUUGGUUUGGUUUCUACUACUGUAGUUUAGAUUUUUCAGUUCCAUUAUACUGUUGUUAUUGUGCGUUUUUCACAAUUUCCCAAUUGAUAUGGUUAGUUCAAUUGUUUUAUUGCUCUGCAGAUAUUAGAUAAAGGAUUGCACCCAUUAGCUGCAUUGUUCUUCUUAUAACAUUUGAUAUUUUGCAGGUAGUACUAUGUCUCUGCGUUCACAUAUCUAUUUGAAACUAAUAGAGAUAUAAGAUCUCUCACACUUUUGAUUUCAAGUUGAUCUCUCUAAGCAGCAUGUUCAAUUGUUUAUUAUUUUCAAAGAGCAAACCUAAUGCGCUUUAACUGUUUGUUAAAAUGCUGAGCAGAAUUUCAUCCUAAAUUCUGCUGUUUUGUGAUAUAAUCCAUAACUCUAAGGCUAAGAUUCAGUUUAGGUCUAUGAGAAACUCCAAGCAAAAGGGUACCUUGAUUAUGAACGAGUUUCAAUUACAUAUGAAAAGUCACCAAAAGGAGCAGGAUUAUGUAAGACAUCCGCCAAAGUUAACACUAAUUUGUUCACUGUUGAACAAUGCCAGAUUAUGGAAGUUGCUUUGAAGUAUGGAAGUUGGAACGCACACAUUGGCACUGUCAUCAAAUCUUUCUUUGGUAAAUUUUCUAUGCAGCUUCUCACAAUUUUGUUACUUUGCGUGGCAUCCAUUCAUUGUGUGGAUAAUAUAUAAAGAGUACAUUCUUUACUUCUUUUAAUUACCUGUACAUUAUGUUGCUAAUACUUUGCAGAUCGAUCGAUUUAAAAAAUUCUUAUCUAAUUCUGUUAUUGCCUCCAGAGGUA